UACGAAGGGGGCUAGCGUUGCUCGGAAUCACUGGGCGUAAAGCGCACGUAGGCGGACUCUUAAGUCGGUGGUGAAAUCCUGGAGCUCAACUCCAGAACUGCCUUCGAUACUGAGAGUCUCGAGUCCGGGAGAGGUGAGUGGAACUGCGAGUGUAGAGGUGAAAUUCGUAGAUAUUCGCAAGAACACCAGUGGCGAAGGCGGCUCACUGGCCCGGUACUGACGCUAAGGCGCGAAAGCGUGGGGAGCGAACAGG
rnacentral:rRNA from 1 species